rnacentral:tRNA from 1 species
GUGGCUGUGGUGAAGCGGUUAACACGGCGGAUUGUGGUUCCGUUAUUCGAGGGUUCGAUCCCCUUCAGCCACCCCA